rnacentral:misc_RNA from 1 species
GAUGAAGAACGCAGCGAAAUGCGAUAAGUAGUGUGAAUUGCAGAAUUCAGUGAAUCAUCGAAUCUUUGAACGCACAUUGCGCCCCUUGGUAUUCCAUGGGGCAUGCCUGUUCGAGCGUCAUUUGUACCUUCAAGCUCUGCUUGGUGGUGGGUGUUUGUCUCGCCUCUGCGUGUAGACUCGCCUCAAAACAAUUGGCAGCCGGCGUAUUGAUUUCGGAGCGCAGUACAUCUCGCGCUUUGCACUCAUAACGACGACGUCCAAAAGUACAUUUUUACACUCUUGACCUCGGAUCAGGUAGGGAUACCCGCUGAACUUAAGCAUAUCAAUAAGCGGAGGA